rfam:Phytophthora nicotianae strain race 0 contig4227, whole genome shotgun sequence.
GUAACGAGUAAGCCAAAUGGUAAUACACAAANCUUUUCUGUUCUAAUCAGUGUGAAAACUGGUUUUCGCCGUUUUGGCGGACUUUUUCACUCUCAUUUUUGGGACUUCCGCGCGCGACCAGCUUGCUGGCGGCGGGUGGAGCGGUCUCCGGGGGCGUACACCUUUCCCCCGCGAGGCCAACAACAA